rnacentral:rRNA from 1 species
UACGGAAGGCAGCAGUGGGGAAUAUUGCACAAUGGGCGAAAGCCUGAUGCAGCUAUGCCGCGUGUAUGAAGAAGGCCCUAGGGUUGUAAAGUACUUUCAUCGGGGAGGAAAAACAAAACUAAUAAUUUUAUUUCUUGACGUUACCCGAAAAAGAAGCACCGGCUAACUCCGUGCCAGCAGCCGCGGUAAUACGGAGGGUGCUAGCGUUAAUCAGAAUUACUGGGCGUAAAGAGCACGUAGGUGGUUUUUUUAAGUCAGAUGUGAAAUCCCUGGGCUUAACCUAGGAACUGCAUUUUGAAACUGAAAUACUAGAGUAUCGUAGAGGGAGGUAGAAUUCUAGGUGUAGCGGUGAAAUGCGUAGAUAUCUGGAGGAAUACCUGUGGCGAAAGCGGCCUCCUAAACGAAUACUGACACUGAGGUGCGAAAGCGUGGGGAGCAAACAGGGAUUAGAUACC